GACGAACGCUGGCGGCGUGCUUAACACAUGCAAGUCGUGCGGUAAGGCCCUGCUUUGGUGGGGUACACGAGCGGCGAACGGGUGAGUAACACGUGGGUGACCUGCCUUCAGCUUUGGGAUAAGCCUGGGAAACUGGGUCUAAUACCGGAUAUGACCUUGGGGUGCAUGCCUUGGGGUGGAAAGCCUGUGUUGUUUGGCAUGGGUGGCUGGGGAUGGGCCCGCGGUCUAUCAGCNGUUGGUGGGGUGAUGGCCUACCAAGGCGACGACGGGUAGCCGGCCUGAGAGGGCGUUCGGCCACACUGGGACUGAGACACGGCCCAGACUCCUACGGGAGGCAGCAGUGGGGAAUAUUGCGCAAUGGGCGGAAGCCUGACGCAGCGACGCCGCGUGGGGGA
rnacentral:rRNA from 1 species